UACAGAGGGGGCAAGCGUUAUUCGGAAUUAUUGGGCGUAAAGGGCUCGUAGGCGGCCAACUAAGUCAUACGUGAAAUCCCUCAGCUUAACUGGGGAACUGCGUGUGAUACUGGAUGGCUUGGAUUUGGGAGAGGGAUGCGGAAUUCCAGGUGUAGCGGUGAAAUGCGUAGAUAUCUGGAGGAACACCGGUGGCGAAGGCGGCAUCCUGGACCAAUAUUGACGCUGAGGAGCGAAAGCCAGGGGAGCAAACGGG
rnacentral:rRNA from 1 species